GGCCUCGUAGCUCAGCUGGUAGAGCAUGCGCGUACAAAGCGUAGGCGGUGUCCAUGAGUGGGUUCGAAUCCCACCGAGGCUA
rfam:Echinostoma caproni strain Egypt genome assembly, scaffold: ECPE_scaffold0030303